UUCUUUCAUUAAGGUGGCGAAUCCUUUCCUCUACUCUUUACUGAGUACUAAAAUAUCUAGAUCUCAUGGUAGUGUUAUGAGAAGAUGAGACCCUAUUCAAUUAUGGAGAAUUCAUGCACCCACAGUUUGGCAACUCAAUUAGGGAUAAAAGAUAUGACCCUAUGUGAUUCUUAUUUUCUAUUUUUGUCUUGUUUGAGAAAUCUAUAUAUUGCAUAGGCACCUUCACACACAUUGAUGCACUAUUAAGCUUUUAGCCCCAUGGUGUGAAUCAAGGAGAUGCUGGUUCUACUCGAGCUAGUGUGAUUUUUAAAG
rnacentral:lncRNA from 1 species